AAAGCCUCCUUCCCAUUCCCGUCUCCUCCCCAGUCAGGUGCUGAGGAGUAUGGGCUGACUGUGCCCUCAGAUAUGUCUAACUUGGGGGUGGUUCUUGGCUCCCUCUUUUUGGAAUUAAGGAAGUGCAAGGAGACCGGGCAUGAGCACACCAACCCCUGAAUUCCCUUCCUGACCUCUGCCUCCUCCCAGGCCUCCUGUGUCCCUGGAGGCGCUGCUGAUGGGGCAGGGGUUUCUUGGUCACUGCGGGAGGAGACUGAGGAGGUGAGUCUACUCAUCUGGUCCCUGAUUCCUGUCAUAUCGGCCCCCAGCGGUGCCUGCUUCCUGCCUGCUUCCUUCUCUGCAUCCCCCUCCACAUUUCUCUUCCUAGCUGCUUGAUUCCUGGACCUUCAGGAUUUCAAGAAGAUGCCGCUACCUGGGAAGCCCCUGGGACUUUUUAACAGAAACUUACCCGAUUGGAGCAUGACUUAAAGAGACCAGAAAGGGAAGUACCUACUUUAUGGUUGGCACAAUGCCAGGGGCUUCACAUUCGUUAACUCAUUAGCUCAUUUGAUCCUCACAAGAACCCUAUUCUUCUUCUUCAUUAACAGAAGAAAUGGGGGCUUGAGAAGGCCUAAGCAACUUGCUCAAGGUCGUGUGGUAUAAGAGGCAGAGGUGAACUUUGAUAUCAGGAUUGUAGGACUCAAGGUCUGUACUGGAUCCGCUGUUUGGAGACAGAAACAGAAAAAGUUUGCCUACCCUGCUCUGCAAGCCUGUCUGCACCUCGCUCAGUUUCCUCAUCUAUGAAAUGCGAGGCCUGAGUUAGAUGCCACAAAGGAGUGAAGUGCUGAGAAGAUGUCUCUCUCAUCAGGCAGAUCACUACGAUUGA
rnacentral:lncRNA from 10 species